UAAGGCUCAGUCUGGAAUAGGAUGAGUAGGGGUGCAAUGCUUCCUUCCACCAGGCAAUUUCUCUGCUAUUGGCACAUCAAAAUAGUAAUUCAGCUGGUAUCUAUGUGUUUUAAACUUGAAACACUCCUUGGAAAUUAGCUGUCUAAUAGUGCAAGACAGUGAAAUGGUCAGGAUGAGCCAGCACACAGGUUUCAGUAACACCAGUGAGUGACCACUUUGGAUGUUUAUGGAAGAGCUUCAAAUCUUGGGGAAGCCAUGGGAGCAGCUCCUUCCCUCUGCCCCUGGGAUGGGUGUGACAGAGGCCUGUCACCUGGUAUGGCCUUCUGAAGCAAACCAGGUAGGAGUUAGAAAAUUAUUUCAAAGAAAUAAAACCGAUGGUAUAGGCAA